rnacentral:rRNA from 1 species
UACGUAGGGGGCGAGCGUUGUUCGGAGUUACUGGGCGUAAAGGGUGUGUAGGCGGUUGUUUAAGUUUGGGGGGAAAUCUCCCGGCUCAACUGGGAGGGUGCGCCGAAUACUGAAUGACUCGAGUGCGGGAGAGGAGAGUGGAAUUCCUGGUGUAGCGGUGAAAUGCGUAGAUAUCAGGAGGAACACCGGCGGUGUAGACGGCUCUCUGGACCGUAACUGACGCUGAGACACGAAAGCGUGGGUAGCAAACAGG